GACGAACGCUGGCGGCGUGCUUAACACAUGCAAGUCGAACGGUAAGGCCCUUCGGGGUACACGAGUGGCGAACGGGUGAGUAACACGUGGGUGAUCUGCCCCGCACUUCGGGAUAAGCCUGGGAAACUGGGUCUAAUACCGGAUAGGACCACUGCCUGCAUGGGCGGUGGUGGAAAGCUUUUGCGGUGUGGGUUGUGCCCGCGGCGUAUCAGCUUGUUUGUGUGGUGGUGGCCUACCAAGGCGACGACGGGUAGCCGGCCUGAGAGCGUGACCCGCCGCGCUGGGACUCAGAUGCGGCGCAGACUGCUGCGGGACGCAUCAGUGGGGAAUGUUGCACAAUGGGCACAAGCCUGAUGCAGCGCCGCCGCGAGAGGGAUGGCGGCCUUCGGGUUGUAGACCUCUGUCAGCAACGACGAAGCGCAAGUGACGGUAGGUGCAGAAGAAGGACCGGCCAACUACGUGCCAGCCGCCGCCGUAA
rnacentral:rRNA from 1 species